rnacentral:rRNA from 1 species
CCUACGGGAGGCAGCAGUGGGAAUAUUGGGCAAUGGACGCAAGUCUGACCCAGCAACGCCGCGUGAAGGAAGAAGGCCUCCGGGUUGUAAACUCCUCUUAAGGGGGAAGAGCAGAAGACGGUACUCCUUGAAUAAGCCACGGCUAACUACGUGACAGCAGCCGCGGUAAUACGUAGGUGGCAAGCGUUGUCCGGAUUUACUGGGUUUAAAGGGCGUGCAGCCGGAGAGACAAGUCAGAUGUGAAAUCCGCGGGCUCAACCCGCGAACUGCAUUUAAAACUGUUGCCCUUGAGUAUAGGAGAGGUCGUCGGAAUGCCUGGUGUAGCGGUGAAAUGCGUAGAUAUUAGAAAGAACACCGAUGGCGAAGGCAGAUGACUAGACGACAACUGACGGUGAGGCGCGAAAGCGUGGGGAGCAAACAGGAUUAGAUACCCCAGUAGUC